rnacentral:misc_RNA from 1 species
AAGUCGUAACAAGGUUUCCGUAGGUGAACCUGCGGAAGGAUCAUUAACACUCUUUUUUCAAUGAAAGAGCUCAUUUUUUGAUUCUUUGUUUUUUCUUUUGAGAAACUUGGAUUCAAAUUAUGGGUAUUCACCCCCUUAUAUUGACGAACGAGGAAAAACAAUGAUUUUGUUUCAAAAGCAAAACUCAUAUUUUUCUAUCUUUUUUCUCUAUACCUUAUAUUUUUCAAAACCCCUUUUUUUACAAUAUGUCUUAGACUGAAUUGAAAAAUUAAGAUAAAUUAAAAAACAACUCUUAACAACGGAUAUCUUGGUUCUC